rnacentral:SRP_RNA from 1 species
CCCUCGGCUUUGCGUGACGUUUGACUGCUAACCCCGUCAGGUCCGAAAGGAAGCAGCGGUCCGCAGACCCAGCGUGUCGUGAAACCCCGGGGGGUU